rnacentral:rRNA from 1 species
GACGAACGCUGGCGGCGUGCCUAAUACAUGCAAGUAGAACGCACAGUUUAUACCGUAGCUUGCUACACCAUAGACUGUGAGUUGCGAACGGGUGAGUAACGCGUAGGUAACCUGCCUGGUAGCGGGGGAUAACUAUUGGAAACGAUAGCUAAUACCGCAUAAUAUUGAUUAUUGCAUGAUAAUUGAUUGAAAGAUGCUAUUGCAUCACUACCAGAUGGACCUGCGUUGUAUUAGCUAGUAGGUGAGGUAACGGCUCACCUAGGCGACGAUACAUAGCCGACCUGAGAGGGUGAUCGGCCACACUGGGACUGAGACACGGCCCAGACUCCUACGGGAGGCAGCAGUAGGGAAUCUUCGGCAAUGGACGAAAGUCUGACCGAGCAACGCCGCGUGAGUGAAGAAGGUUUUCGGAUCGUAAAGCUCUGUUGUAAGAGAAGAACGGGUGUGAGAGUGGAAAGUUCACACUGUGACGGUAUCUUACCAGGAAGGGACGGCUAACUACGUG